rnacentral:lncRNA from 1 species
CGCGGUGGCGGCGGUGGUGGCGAUGGCGGCGGUGGUGGCGGCGGACGGGGCGGCGGCGGGGACGGUGGCGGCGGUGGCGGUGGCAGCACAAGCGGCGGCGGCGGCUUGGACCUGCGGCGCCGUCAUGGUUCCGUAUGGGGUCAGGGGCGAGGCCAAAUUAGGCAACAUGUGUGACCCGCAUGGAUCUCAGGGUGGGCCCCACUCGGUACCGAGUAGAAAGGCCGCCACAUUUCAUCAACCCUCGACCUGUGUACCUCAGAUUCACCCGAAUGCUGUUAUUAAGGCGUAUGUCGGUAUCUGAACAGAAUGGGAGCAUUUCCUAGUAGUACGGGGGCACGGCUGGGAUUGCUCACUCACAUCGCAGGGCUGUGUUGCCUAUAUAGGCCAUCGCACCAUGUCCUCAUGCAUUUAAAAUUAUUAGGAUGUUGGGAACUGGAAGUUAGCUAACAGGCCCAAUGGCCGCUGGGUUUGCCGCGGGAGCAUGCAGGCUUUGUGACUGCGGAAUGGUCGAUGAAGAGCUGCAUGUCUUUUGUUGUAAGUGCCCACCGGCCUAUGGGGCCCUUCGAUUUAUCAACACGAAGGGGACGUUGGCUUACGAGGGCGCCAAAGGCGCACUAUUUAUGGUCGAGGAGGCCCGAUAAAGCUGCGGCUAGUUUUCUCUCGGAGGUCUAGGAAGCGGCACAGGAGGCGGCACAUCGCGCUCAGGCGCGUUCCGAGCCCAGGCGAGCGGGAGGGGACGCCAACGCCCCACCAUCCGGGGCGCCACCACCACAAUAAUAAUGAUUGCUAUUGGUCGUCCUAGGGGCCCUGCCCUCCACCGGCUUUUACGGACGGGCUCUUCCCCCGCGUUUGAGACCGAAACUUUCGUAAAUAACGCAAUGAAAAGCCGACUCACGCAACAUGGGUGACGUGGCAACACUUCCCUUAUUUUUCCCCCAGAUCCCACUCUUACCGUCCGGCGCUCUUAGGUGGUGGGGCCCUCGUCUGAACUUGAGGAGUCGGUGAUGGUGGGGGCAGCGAUGGGGGUCGCGGCGGUGGGGGGGGUGGCGGCGGUGGCGG